rnacentral:rRNA from 1 species
GAUGAACGCUGGCGGCGUGCCUAACACAUGCAAGUCGAGCGGUAUAUACUUUAUCAAAUCUUCGGAAGAGAGACGGUAUAGAGAGCGGCGGACGGGUGAGUAACGCGUAGGCAACCUGCCCCAUACAGAGGGAUAGCCUCGGGAAACCGGGAUUAAAACCUCAUAACGCGAAAGAGUCACAUGGCUUUUUCGCCAAAGAUUUAUCGGUAUGGGAUGGGCCUGCGUCUGAUUAGCUAGUUGGUGGGGUAACGGCCUACCAAGGCGACGAUCAGUAGCCGACCUGAGAGGGUAAUCGGCCACAUUGGAACUGAGACACGGUCCAAACUCCUACGGGAGGCAGCAGUGGGGAAUAUUGCACAAUGGGCGAAAGCCUGAUGCAGCAACGCCGCGUGAGCGAUGAAGGCCUUUGGGUCGUAAAGCUCUGUCCUUGGGGAAGAAUAAAUGACGGUACCCUUGGAGGAAGCCCCGGCUAACUACGUGCCAGCCGCCGCGGUAA